GAUGAACGCUGGCGGCGUGCUUAACACAUGCAAGUCGAACGAUGAAGCCCAGCUUGCUGUGUGGAUUAGUGGCGAACGGGUGAGUAACACGUGAGUAACCUUCCCCUAACUCUGGGAUAAGCCUGGGAAACUCGGUCUAAUACCGGAUAGGAUCGUCCACCGCCUGUUGGGUGUUGGAAAGCUUUAUCGGUUUUGGAUGGACUCGCGGCCUAUCAGCUUGUUGGUGAGGUAAUGGCUCACCAAGGCGACGACGGGUAGCCGGCCUGAGAGGGUGACCGGCCACACUGGGACUGAGAGACGGCCCAGACUCAUAAGGGAGGCAGCAGUGGGGAAUAUUGCACAAUGGGCGCAAGCCUGAUGCAGCGACGCCGCGUGAGGGAUGACGGCCUUCGGGUUGUAAACCUCUUGCAGUAGGGAAGAAGCGAAAGUGACGGUACCUGCAGAAGAAGCACCGGCUAACUACGGG
rnacentral:rRNA from 1 species